GACAAUGUUUAUGGACAUCAAAUCCUGCAUGAAGGAGAGGACAUUUUUAAUUCUCUAAGGAGUGUGACCCCAGAAUCUAACCAUGUCAGAGAAGAAGGAUAUCCUAGGCAACACCUCACAGUUAACCCGGAAUUCUUAAGUGUAUAAGUUCCCAAGUUUGAGACCCUGAGAUUCUGACCUACUAAAGAUAGAAGGGCAUUUCCUGAUCCAGAAAGCUCAUUGGAGAAAGAUGAAGAUGGUCUGCAUAAAUAGUUACUGUGCAGUGUCCUAUAUGGAGAGAAAAUAUACCUCUUACCCUUUAGGUAGAUCAACUGGCUCCACCUGGCUACUUCUCAUCUAUAUACAAGUAGGUCCCAUGGCCCAAUCCCACAGCUCCCAGAGCAGGACCUGCCUCUUCAAUCUCACCAAGCCUCAUAACAUCAACAAGUCUAUUUGGUCUGCAGCAGAAGAAUCACAGCUCUAGCGACUUCCUUACCUGUGUUGGGCUUCCUUCCCCAGUGCCCAGUCCCCAGUCCCUUGGGGAAGAUGAUUUCUGAGGCUCCUGGCACUUCAGCAUUCAAUGCAGACAAUCUCCCUCAGAUGACCUGAGUGUGACCGUCUCUAAGCCUAACUCUAAAUGCUUCCCACCCAAUUCUCAGAGUAGGAUGGCAUCCCCAUGGGCUUCCUCCAAACCAUAGUGUAUUAGAGAUCUCCAUAGCUAUUUCUUUUGAGAAGAAAGGAAAACCUGAGGCUCAAAAUCACUGAGUCAUGGACCACCUAGUUCAAACAGGGUUAAAACACCAUCUAGUCUGAGCCCCUCAUUUUAAUUUUGUUUAAGCAAUGCAUGUUUUUUUUAAAACCACCACCAUUAUAUCCCCUGAAAGAGACAUAGAUAAGCAAAACUGACAUUGAGAAUAACCAUAUCUGACAGGAUAGGCAACAUUCUGCACUCCUAGUCAUUUACACACAUACCCAUAUGCCCACACAUAUGUGCACACACAUGCACAUGUUUGCACACAUACAUACACAUGUACUCACAUGCACACACACACCCCUCUACCAAGAGGAGGGAUAUGUUUAUUACCCUCUCUUCUUUAGGCCAAGGAUCUGGCAUUGACAUUCGUUGAGUUUCCAUGGUCUUUGAGGGCUGACAUUCGUGGAGCCCUAACCCUAACCUUAACCCUAACCCUCCCAAGGCUUCCAGCCAUAUCAAUAGGAUCUAUACACAAUAAAAGUCAGUCCUUCCUCUAGAGGGGCCAGAGGAAGGCUCAGGGAUUGGAUCAUGUGGAUGAGAGGAAAGAUGUGGAAGAGCAGUCAAGGGAGUCGGCAGCCCCAGCAGCGUGGUGACCUUGGGUAGGUACUUCUUCUUAGAGCUCCUAGGAGAGUGUGUGGCUGCAGAGGGUGGAUAUUCACUUGAGCAUUGGGAGUAUCUGGGUCCUGCUUGGUGAUAGCUUGGUCCUGGAUCUGCCUGAUGUAUAUCAGGAAGGGAGCUGACAGAAAAUGUCAAGAUGGCCUGAA